rnacentral:rRNA from 1 species
GUGUCAGCCGCCGCGGUAAGACAGAGGUGGCAAGCGUUAUUCGGUAUCACUGGGCUUAAAGGGUGUGUAGGCGGGAUGGUAAGCGCUUUGUGAAAUACCCCGGCUUAACCGGGGAACUGCUUGGCGAACUACCAUUCUUGAGGUAGGCACGGGUGCAUGGAACUCUUGGUGAAGCGGUGGAAUGCGUAGAUAUCAAGAGGAACGCCGAUGGUGAAGACAGUGCACUGGGCCUGUCCUGACGCUGAUACACGAAAGCGUGGGGAUCAAACAGGAUUAGAUACCCUGGUAGUCCACGCCCUAAACGAUGUCUACUAGGUUGUGGUCGUUCUGACACGGUCACGGCCGAAGCAAAAGUGUUAAGUAGACCGCCUGGGGAGUACGGUCGCAAGGCUAAAACUUAAAGGAAUUGACGGGG